rnacentral:rRNA from 1 species
GAUGAACGCUGGCGGCGUGCCUAAUACAUGCAAGUCGAGCGAACAGAUAAGGAGCUUGCUCCUUUGACGUUAGCGGCGGACGGGUGAGUAACGCGUGGGUAACCUACCUAUAAGACUGGGAUAACUUCGGGAAACCGGAGCUAAUACCGGAUAACAUUUGGAACCGCAUGGUUCUAAAGUGAAAGAUGGUUUUGCUAUCACUUAUAGAUGGACCCGCGCCGUAUUAGCUAGUUGGUAAGGUAACGGCUUACCAAGGCAACGAUACGUAGCCGACCUGAGAGGGUGAUCGGCCACACUGGAACUGAGACACGGUCCAGACUCCUACGGGAGGCAGCAGUAGGGAAUCUUCCGCAAUGGGCGAAAGCCUGACGGAGCAACGCCGCGUGAGUGAUGAAGGGUUUCGGCUCGUAAAACUCUGUUAUUAGGGAAGAACAAAUGUGUAAGUAACUGUGCACGUCUUGACGGUACCUAAUCAGAAAGCCACGGCUAACUACGUG